GCAUAAUCUCGCAAGAGCAAAGUGGGGGACCUUCGGGCCUCACACCAUCGGAUGAACCCAGAUGGGAUUAGCUAGUAGGUGGGGUAACGGCUCACCUAGGCGACGAUCCCUAGCUGGUCUGAGAGGAUGACCAGCCACACUGGAACUGAGACACGGUCCAGACUCCUACGGGAGGCAGCAGUGGGGAAUAUUGCACAAUGGGCGCAAGCCUGAUGCACCCAUGCCGCGUGUAUGAAGAAGGCCUUCGGGUUGUAAAGUACUUUCAGCGGGGAGGAAGGCGAUGCGGUUAAUAACCGCGUCGAUUGACGUUACCCGCAGAAGAAGCACCGGCUAACUCCGUGCCAGAGC
rnacentral:rRNA from 1 species